CUUCCUUCCUUUUCUUUUAUGUGUGUUGGUGACUCACUCAGAGCAGAGGCACAGUGAAGCACUUCAUUUGGUCAGAUGCAACCCUUGUAUAUAAGAUGUAUGCAAGAUAUUGUCUGAAACAUAGACUGGAGAUAGUUGUUCCACCUGUGACAAAAACUCUUCAAACAGGUCACACCAGAGACAAAGUACUUUGAAAUGUAGGCUAAGUCAUACAAAAAGAACUGCAAAAUCCAAAGACCACAGGACUUUUUCCACUGAGAGGAUAAUGAAUGUGCAGAAGUACACCUAAAGAAUGGUGCAGAACCAAGCAGUGUGGUAUAAUUGAACACACAUUGGUACUAGCCUGCAAGAAUAGAAGUGAGCACAAAUUCUCCCCUCCCAACAGAAGAAGCCCACAGAAUGAGAGAGAUCUGAUAAAAUUCCAGCCCUACUGAAAUGGAUGGAAAUUUUGCCACUGACUGUUCAACAAAGGACUCUUCCCUGCAGACCUAUUAGGAAUUUUUAAUUGGAUAUAAUGUGUGCUGAGAAAGAUGAUAAUACAAUGGGGAAAAAUUUGGUGCUUAGAUAAAUGAGCCACUGAUACUGCAUCUGUUAAAAUGUGUUUCACCAAGGGGCCACUUCUCCAGUAAGGACAGAGAAACGCGCAAAGGAAAGGAGCAAAAAGAGCCCAUUUCCUGCCCAUUUGGCUGCGUUUUAUGCCAAGAAGGUCAUAGCGCUGCAUGAGUGCUUGUGGCUCUUCUUCAAAGGCUCUGCUUCAAUUCAGACAAUCAAAGCUGAUGAGGACUCACCCUAAAGUGCACUUCUGUUUUCUAACAUAGCCUCUCUGGAAAAUAUGAUGUUACAAUAUUGGCCAGUCAGUUGGUCUGUCAUUUUCGGUUGGCCUCUUCUGUUGUAACACGAUGACACUGUUUUUUUUUCUUUGUUUUUCAUCAGCUGUCAAGAGAUACAAAUGCUGACUUCCUCCUAAACCUUUGGAUCCCACUGGCAUUUCCCAGUGCUGGGCCUACUUACUCCACAUUUGAAGCUUCCUUCCUGGCAGUUUUCAGCAUCCUCUGUAGAGUUGCACCUCUGGGUUAUUGGUAUGCAUUUCUCUUGCAGCCUUCGCUGGAUAUCUGACUUCCUCACGAACAUAAACAGUCAUUUCACAGUAACCCUGUUAGAAAAGCAAGAAUUAUCACUUUUACUUAGAUUACAAAUGCAGGGGCUUUCACAGUGACCACAAACAUGCAGCUGUCGAAGACAGAUUGACUUUCCUGUAGGGAAUACACUGUGUUCUUGUUCAGAGGAGAUGAAUCUUUCCUGAGCGGGUGGAAGUUCCUCCACUGACAUGGGGUGCAGCAGAAGCUACUGGGGUCCAUCCCUGAAGAAGUGCAUUCACUAAUUCAGGUGACUGCUGAAAAAGGAUAUUCCCUUGUUUUGGCUGGUGAGUGUACAGGGUUAGUUCAAUAAAUUACAAAAUUUUUUUUUCUUUAAUUAAAAGAAGGAAGGGAUGUGUUCAGUUUGUAAACACAAAUGCAAACACAUUCGGUAACUAAGCAGUUUGGCGAGCAUUCUGCUGAUGAAGGAUGAAGUUUGCAGUUAGGCUUUGGAAGAAUAGCAUAUGGCAGUAGACUGAACAUUUGUCAUUGGGUGAUUUCAUCUUCUGUGCUAAAGUAGUCUUCCCAGCAUGGAGGCUGAUAUUUUAAAAAGUCAGACGUGACAAAGGGAAAAAGUUAAUCCUUUAGACAAAGAAUAACAUAUUGAUUAAACUUCCUACUUCGAGCUAUAUAAAUAUGCAUUUAGAUCAUGCUGAUUUUAAUAUUUCAAGAGCUGGAUGCAGCUCCUAACAAACAUCAGUUCCUAAGAAUGUUAAAAAUGCUCUAAUUUUCAAAGAAAAUAAACACUUUUUGUGUGCAUUUAUGACUAAUGUUUUAUAAUAUUAAAAUUCAAAGAUAAAAAGCACUGAAAUAAUUGAUGGGAGUUGAUACCGUACGUUUACAUAUUACAUUCUUUUUUAGUGUAGAUACUGAAAGUAGAUUAGAUGAUUAUUGACUUUUUUUCCAGAAAAUGCCAGCAUCAGUUUCCAAUUAACACAUUGCUUUGUCUAAAACCAGCCUUCCUUUUUGAGAUGCAGAACUGAAAGAACACCAUCAAAGUUUAAAGUACAGAUUUGCCUCACUGAUGUGUCCUGAAGAAUGUACCCUGUAAGAUGUGACUAGCAGAAGAAAUGCAGAAACAGGAGAAAGCUGUACUGGUUUCUCUUGACAUAAUGCUGCUGCACUGAUGAUGUAUUUCUGUUGGUUGCCAGUAUGUGAAGGUUGAAGGAUGUUUUUGCAUGUGAGGUAGUUAAACUCUCCUUUCUAUGCUAUCAUUUUUUCCCUUCACUACUCUACAACAUAAUGAAUCCCAUUGAUUACUAAAUGUUUAAAAGGAUUUCAUCAAGGAGUGGCUCCGUUUUCUAAAUGCCUUUAUUUAUUCAAGUCUAAUUCAUAUGCUACUGACAUUUUCUUGCUUUUUCUGUUUUUAGGAAAGAUUCAAGUGGUACUUUAAACCAAGACCUUCACAAUGCCUUAAUGGAUCAGAGAUACUGUUUAUACUCUUAAUCUCUUAAUCUCCUGACAAUGCAUUAUAUCAUUAAUGGCAAAUC